CUGUUGUGCAUUUUUUUUAAUUAUUAUUAUUCCUUUUUUUUCAGCCAGCAUCGGAGGUGAUGAAAAAACAUGGUACCAAUUGGACAGAUGUGUGCAGCAAAGCCAAGGAUAGCUUGGAACAAUUAAUCAGAGCAACGCAAAACAGCCGAGCAGCUCUUAGAAGGAACAUCGCAGUAACAGCCUCCAUACCCGACCUCACCACCCUGAGAUGCCGCCCAGCUCACCCAAGGCUCAGAGAUAUCCACCGGAUGGGUUUCGAUAUUGAGUGAUUUGCUGUCAGUUCUCUCAUUCACAGCCGAUGCCAGGAUUGCCGCAGGGCGUUCUGACCGCGGGCACUGCAGCUGAACUGUCUCAGUAGCAGCGGGAUCCCCAGGCACAGGUUCAAGGAUUUCAGUCUACUUUUGACCCAAAUGAGGAAUUAAUAUGAAGCACGAGGUAUGUGUAAGUCAUCAUGAGGCACGGUGCUCAGCAUCACUUUUGGGAAACAGAUAAUGGAUUUGUCAUCAAAAUCAAAGGGAGUUCUACACAGGCAGAAGGAAAAGAACGGUCAUUUCUUUCAGUAUUUGAAGUAAGCAAGUAAGCAAUCCGUGACAGAAGCCAUUCCUAGGAUACUGCUAUGGGAAACAGCAGCAGAGAAGAAAGCAUCCACAUUUCCCUGAACUACGGCUGCAAGGAAAGAAAGAAGAAAAAUGCAUUUCUUGUAGACGUGACCUGUUAGAAGGCAAUCAACCCCUCACGCCUUAAAAGCAUUAAAGAAAAAAUACAAUGCACAGAGUGAUCUCCUCCAGCAAUACGUGUAUCUGGUCCAGGCAGCACAUGGCGCCACUCUGUGCCAUAAAGAAUGAAAGCCAUAAGCACCGAGCUCCAAAGCUCCAGCCAAACCAACCCAACGUGUCCAUGGACAGUCAGUGAAAGCAUCCAACAAAGCAGCUGAUUCCCAGCCUUCUUGUUUCUUUCUGAACAUCCAGAGGUCUCCCUGUUGGCUUCACCUCUGACCUGUAAAGCCUGAGCUUGCAGUCCCUUGGAAGCCCUUGUAAGCAGAGAAUUGAGACUGGACUGGAUUUUAGGAAGGCGUUGCAUCAGAUCAAAAUUAGUGCCUCCCUGAGGGAUAAAGCACAGGGCUAAAGAAAAACAGCUGAGUUCCUAGAGAACAAAGUUGAUUGGUCCAUACCUGAAGGAAGCAGAACAGAUGCCGAUGGGCUGCCAGCCUUUGUUCCCUCUUCUACUCGCUCAAAGCUUUCAAAUCUCCCUUUUGCUUCUUGUACUGCUUAGAAAGUUUUUUGCUGUGAGAAAUGACAUCCUGCAAAGGACAGAGAGGGACAGAUCCCACGCUUAAGUAUUCCAAAACCAGCAAUACUGGAAACAGUUGCAGCUGAGAAGCCACUUUCUUGCAUGUGGAAAAGUCAGAGGCAAGGUAUGUCUGGGGCUGAUGAAGGGGAACAUCAUCUGUUAGAGCACCGAGUUCUCCAUGGCAUCCCUGAAUUCCUGACUUUGUUGAGAACCCCAGGACAAAUUGCUCCGAGCAGAGCUGGCAGCGUCCUGUAGAUGCUCGAAAAUGCCUCUCUUUCUAAACUGGGCUGUUUUCUAUUUUGCUGCCUCGCUGCCUCCCUGUACUCUGAGAACGAUGGCACUUUGCUGCCAGCAUCAGCCCAAGCGUUGGAGCCUCCUUCGGAACUGAACCUUACUGCCACAGGUCGAGCUGUGCGCCGCGCUAUUCAGGACCAAAGGAAAAGGUGACCAGAACUUCAGCUUGAAUGAAAAAGGGCACCGCUGCAUCAGUGAUACCAGACAGCAGGCCAAGCAGCAGCCAGUGCCAGAUAGGAUUAGCAGCAGCGCGUCUGAACAGCUUCUGACAACACCUGGAAUUUCUUGUGCAGAAUAAAUCACAACAGAAGCC
ensembl:lncRNA